rnacentral:rRNA from 1 species
UACGGGGGGGGCAAGCGUUGUUCGGAAUUACUGGGCGUAAAGGGCUCGUAGGCGGCCAACUAAGUCAGACGUGAAAUCCCUCGGCUUAACCGGGGAACUGCAUCUGAUACUGGAUGGCUUGAGUUCGGGAGAGGGAUGCGGAAUUCCAGGUGUAGCGGUGAAAUGCGUAGAUAUCAGGAGGAACACCAAUGGCGAAGGCAGCUCGCUGGGACGGUACUGACGCUGAGACGCGAAAGCGUGGGGAGCGAACAGG